rnacentral:rRNA from 1 species
UUAUUUUAGUUUAGAGAUGAGUUUUGUCCUUUUUGGAAUUAGGUGUGGUACCUUUUGCAUCAUGAUUCGCUGAUAGAGGUAUUAAGGAGUUAGAAUCUCGAAGGGUUACGAUAAUCAUUCGGUAUGUUUAGGACAUUAUAGUUAGGUGGGUAAUUUUCUAGAUAAUUGUUUGAGGUGUUGAGAAAUAAUUCGUGUAAUCUGAUAGCUAGUUGGGAAGGAAUGUUGUAGGUUGAGUUUUAUUGCGAAGCGGUGAUAAAAUGUAUAAGAAAUGUGUUGUGGAGUGGUUGUAGGCUUAGGGUCAGAGUUACCCUUAGUUUAGUAGUAUGUUAUUAUAAGUCAUUCGAUAGUUAUAGGUUUUUAUUUAUAUACUUCUUUAGUUAAUUGGUUGGAGAGGUUAAUGGUGGAAUAAGUAGAGUUGGUAGUGUUUCCUUUUUUUCUCGGUGCUUGUCGGUCUGUUUUUCAAAAACAUUUCUAUUUGUGAAGGUUAAAUAGUAGGACCUGCCCUAUGUUUUUUAUAAAUGGCCGCAGUAUAUUGACUGUGCAAAGGUAGCAUAAUUAAUUGUCUCGUAAUUGGGGAAUUGUUUGAAUGGUUGAACUAGAUAAGACGGAAGAUGGGAGAGGUGUUUGAAAUUGGAUAUUUGGUGCAGAUUCCAAAGGUUUUUAGUGGGACGGAAAGACCCCGAGAGCUUUAUAUUGUGAUAUUUAUUUGGGGCAGAGGUAAAUUUUUUAUUUAUUUUGUGAUCCUAUAAUAGGGGUAGAAGGUGUAAGUUACCUCGGGGAUAACUAGGUAAGAAAUAAGGAGAGGUCAAAUCGAUUUAUUUAUUUGCCAUCUCGAUGUUGAUUUAAAGUAAUAUGAGGGCGCAGAAGUUCUUGUAUAUGGUCUGUUCGACCGUAGUGCUUUUCAUGAAUUGAGUUAAGACCGGUGUAAGCCAGGUCGGUUCUUAUCUGCUAUUCUUGCGGGUUAGUACGAAAGGAUUGCCCGUGGUUUAUGUU